UACGAAGGGGGCUAGCGUUGCUCGGAAUCAUUGGGCGUAAAGCGCACGUAGGCGGUUCGUUAUGUCGGAUGUGAAAGCCCUUGGCUUAACCGAGGAAGUGCAUCCGAAACUGGCGAGCUAGAGUACUAAAGAGGAUCGCGGAAUUCCCGGUGUAGUGGUGAUAUGCGUAGAUAUCGGGAGGAACACCUGUGGCGAAGGCGGCUUUCUGGGCCUUACCUGACGCUGAGACGCGAAAGCGUGGGGAGCGAACCGG
rnacentral:rRNA from 1 species